CGAAGUUGCUGCGGCCAAGGUUCCCCCGGAUGCAUGUCCGAGGGCUAAGAGGGAAUUCGGUAAGCCCGUCCGGGCGAGGCCGAAGCUGCCCCCGCAACUGUGAGCGGCGAGCCACCGUCGUCGAAGGUCACUGGUGCCCUGCACCGGGAAGGCCGAGACGGGGGCGCUGACCCGUGAGCCAGGAGACCUGCCUUGGCGCGACGAUGUCCC
rnacentral:ncRNA from 22 species